UGUUACUACAACAAGGUUGACCGCACAGUC
rnacentral:piRNA from 1 species